rnacentral:rRNA from 1 species
CUCAGGAUGAACGCUAGCUACAGGCUUAACACAUGCAAGUCGAGGGGAAACGACAUCGAAAGCUUGCUUUUGAUGGGCGUCGACCGGCGCACGGGUGAGUAACGCGUAUCCAACCUGCCCAUCACUUGGGGGAUAACCUUGCGAAAGUAAGACUAAUACCCAAUGAUAUCUCUAGGAGACAUCUGAAAGAGAUUAAAGAUUUAUCGGUGAUGGAUGGGGAUGCGUCUGAUUAGCUUGUUGGCGGGGUAACGGCCCACCAAGGCGACGAUCAGUAGGGGGUUCUGAGAGGAAGGUCCCCCACAUUGGAACUGAGACACGGUCCAAACUCCUACGGGAGGCAGCAGUGAGGAAUAUUGGUCAAUGGACGAGAGUCUGAACCAGCCAAGUAGCGUGCAGGAUGACGGCCCUAUGGGUUGUAAACUGCUUUUAUAAGGGAAUAAAGUGAGCUACGUGUAGCUUUUUGCAUGUACCUUAUGAAUAAGGACCGGCUAAUUCCGUG